rnacentral:rRNA from 1 species
AUGAACGCUGGCGGCGUGCCUAAUACAUGCCAGUCGAGCGCACAGACGAGGAGCUUGCUCCUCUGACGUUAGCGGCGGACGGGUGAGUAACACGUGGAUAACCUACCUAUAAGACUGGGAUAACUUCGGGAAACCGGAGCUAAUACCGGAUAAUAUAUUGAACCGCAUGGUUCAAUAGUGAAAGACGGUUUUGCUGUCACUUAUAGAUGGAUCCGCGCCGCAUUAGCUAGUUGGUAAGGUAACGGCUUACCAAGGCAACGAUGCGUAGCCGACCUGAGAGGGUGAUCGGCCACACUGGAACUGAGACACGGUCCAGACUCCUACGGGAGUCAGCAGUAGGGAAUCUUCCGCAAUGGGCGAAAGCCUGACGGAGCAACGCCGCGUGAGUGAUGAAGGUCUUCGGAUCGUAAAACUCUGUUAUUAGGGAAGAACAAAUGUGUAAGUAACUAUGCACGUCUUGACGGUACCUAAUCAGAAAGCCACGGCUAACUACGUG